rnacentral:rRNA from 1 species
GAUCCUGGCUCAGAUUGAACGCUGGCGGCAGGCUUAACACAUGCAAGUCGAACGGUAGCAGGAGAAAGCUUGCUUUCUUGCUGACGAGUGGCGGACGGGUGAGUAAUGCUUGGGAAUCUGGCUUAUGGAGGGGGGAUAACGACGGGAAACUGUCGCUAAUACCGCGUAUUAUCGGAAGAUGAAAGUGCGGGACUGAGAGGCCGCAUGCCAUAGGAUGAGCCCAAGUGGGAUUAGG